rnacentral:rRNA from 1 species
AUUGAACGCUGGCGGCAUGCCUUACACAUGCAAGUCGAACGGCAGCACGGGUGCUUGCACCUGGUGGCGAGUGGCGAACGGGUGAGUAAUACAUCGGAACAUGUCCUGUAGUGGGGGAUAGCCCGGCGAAAGCCGGAUUAAUACCGCAUACGAUCUACGGAUGAAAGCGGGGGACCUUCGGGCCUCGCGCUAUAGGGUUGGCCGAUGGCUGAUUAGCUAGUUGGUGGGGUAAAGGCCUACCAAGGCGACGAUCAGUAGCUGGUCUGAGAGGACGACCAGCCACACGGGGACUGAGACACGGCCCAGACUCCUACGGGAGGCAGCAGUGGGGAAUUUUGGACAAUGGGCGAAAGCCUGAUCCAGCAAUGCCGCGUGUGUGAAGAAGGCCUUCGGGUUGUAAAGCACUUUUGUCCGGAAAGAAAUCCUUGGCCCUAAUACGGUCGGGGGAUGACGGUACCAGAAGAAUAAGCACCGGCUAACUACGUG